AUCAAAGCUCAUUUAUUCACCCGCCCACAUCCUACCAGCCCUUCUGAGCCUGUCUGUUUAUUUAGUGCUUUAAUAACACCACAGUAAAUAAGAUUUCAUUUCAGAGUCUUCAUGUCUUUUUGUCAAAGCACUUAGCAUAGGCUCCUUAUAACAUCGUGUUAGAACCCAUCUUUGCAGAAAGAUGAAAGAGCAGCAAGCUGUUUCCCUGAACAGCUCAUCUGGAGGCAUGAACGCUGCCACACCACUUACAGGGCAUGACCUUUUAUCAUCUCCUAUGAGCUACAGAGCUGCCAGAACACAGGAACGAGGUGGAUGCAUCAUAGCUCUGCUGCCUCUUCUGGAGGCAUGUACAGAAUUGCCACCACAUCAGACAAGACACCAGAUACAUCAACAACAUCGAUCUGCUGCCUACACUUCAACCUCAACCCGCGAGUGUUGAAAACAAGUAGUUAUAUUGGGGGUCCAUGAUUUUAUUCUACAAUUAUCAGCAGUAUGACUUGCCCAUAGUCAUGAUCGCUCAUAGAUUGCCAAGAAAAUACAAGAAAUGAUGCUACAAAAGAAGAAGCACCUUUUGAUUGCUUUCAUAAAAGUAGUAAAGCAAACAACUCUAUUUUUCAACAAGUGGAAACCAAUUGAGUUGAUGUCCCAUUUUCAUGGGUGUGCCCCUCUCCUAAAGAUUCCCUCCAGAUCUCAGCCACCAGUUUCCUCUUUCUCAUCCUUACCCCUACCUUGCCAACAUAGAUACCAUCAGGUACAAACUAGAAACAGCAAAAAGAGGCAACCUGCCAAAAGCCAGAGAGGGUGGAAAUGGAGCCUCCUGUGUGUAUUAUCCAGGCAGAAAUAGCUGACUGCAAUGGCUUCCUUUGUUAUGCUCCCCUUACUCAUGAAAUCACGAGAAAGCCUUUGCUCUCCUGAGCAAAGAUGUGGUGUGGGCGUCUUCUGCCUUACGGUGAAACAUCAGAACUGAUGGUGGAAAUGGCUGUUCCUUCCCCAAGGCUUAUUGGACUAGUCUCCCCUAGACAGUGUUAUAGGCAUUGGCACCAGCUGAAAGAAAAAAGAAAAAAAAAAAAGAAAAAAAGAACACCUAAUUUAAAAAGGUAACUGAACUUGAACAAGGAACAGCAGAGCUAUAUAUUUUCUCUUUAGUGAGAAUAUUAUUCUGAAAAGAAGUUAAAUACAUUCAGUUUAGACUGAAACACAAGUAUAAAUUCAAUUUACUGAGUAUUGACUCAAAUCCUUGGUGAUUAUCCCUUUUAUCUUCAAUAUGGGAGUCAUGCUUUGCUAUAUCUGCACUGAAAGCAAAGCAAAAAUCCUAUAGAGAGAGCCUCUAAUCAUUGCCAAACCAUUACUACACUUCCCAGAGCUGUGCAGGGAAGCAGACAUCCACCUAAGAGGAAUCUCCUGUACCAGUCUGUCAAUGCCUGCCUAUGGUCCAGAGGGAUAUUCUAUGAUUUGUAUUAAAAUAAAUAAAUGGUGUAUAGAGGACUUACUUAAGGCACAAAGCUCUUUGCAGA